GAUGAACGCUGGCGGCGUGCCUAAUACAUGCAAGUCGAGCGAAUGGAUUAAGAGCUUGCUCUUAUGAAGUUAGCGGCGGACGGGUGAGUAACACGUGGGUAACCUGCCCAUAAGACUGGGAUAACUCCGGGAAACCGGGGCUAAUACCGGAUAACAUUUUGAACCGCACGGUUCGAAAUUGAAAGGCGGCUUCGGCUGUCACUUAUGGAUGGACCCGCGUCGCAUUAGCUAGUUGGUGAGGUAACGGCUCACCAAGGCAACGAUGCGUAGCCGAGCUGAGAGGGUGAUCGGCCACACUGGGACUGAGACACGGCCCAGACUCCUACGGGAGGCAGCAGUAGGGAAUCUUCCGCAAUGGACGAAAGUCUGACGGAGCAACGCCGCGUGAGUGAUGAAGGCUUUCGGGUCGUAAAACUCUGUUGUUAGGGGAGAACAAGUGCUAGUUGAAUAAGCUGGCACCUUGACGGUACCUAACCAGAAAGCCACGGCUAACUACGUGCCAGCCGCCGCGGUAA
rnacentral:rRNA from 1 species